rnacentral:snoRNA from 1 species
GCGAAAGAUUAUACAUUUUUAACCCCGAGUGGCCCGUCUGGGCCUCUUUGAAGAUUACAAACGCAACAACACUCUAAUUUUUUCAUGACG